GGGGGGGGGGGGGGGGGGGGGGGGGGGGGUGUCCCCAGUUCUGUCCUGGGGUGUCCCAGCUCCACUUUGGGGUGUCCCAGCUCCAUCCUGGGGUGUCCCCAAUCCAUCCUGGGAUGUCUCCAGUUCUGUCCUGGGGUGUCCCCAGCUCCAUCCUCCAUUCUGGGGUGUCCCCAGUUCUGUCCUGGGGUGUCCCAGCUCCACUUUGGGGUGUCCCAGCUCCAUCCUGGGGUGUCCCCAGCUCCAUCCUCCACCUUGGAGUGUCCCCAGUUCCAUCUUGGGGUGUCUCCUGCUCCAUCCUGGGGUGUCCCCAGUUCCAGGAUUCCACUUUGGGGUGUCCCAAAUCCAUCCUGGGGUGUCCCCAGCCCCAUCCUGGGGUGUCCCCAACUCCAGAGUUCCAUCCUGGGGUCUCCCAGUUCCAUCCUGGGGUGUCCCAAUUCCAUCCUGGGGUGUCCCAGUUCCAUCUUGGAGUGUCCCCAACUCCAGAAUUCCAUCCUGGGGUGUCCCAGUUCCAUCCUGGGCUGUCCCUUCACAACCAGGGUGGUGGCACCAACGAGGGGAAUCCAAAUUUCACUGCAGGGGUGACAUUAAAAAUUAAAAAAAAAAAAAAAAACAGCCUAAAACUAACAGGGAAGAAAAAAAAAUAACAACCCACCAAAAAAAAAAAAAAGGGGGGGGGGGGGGGGGGGGGGGGGGGGGUUAAUAUGUCUUAAAAAAAAAAAAAAAAAAAAAAAAAAAAAAAAAAACCUCCAAGACAGCAGAGCUUGAUGAGAGGAUGGAUCUCAGUUUGCAUAAUCCCAUAAAGGCAGAAAAACGACAGGAAUCACCUAAAAUAACCCGAACCCAAGCAGCAGCCAUCUGCCCCCAUUGCUCUAGGAUGGGAUGUAUCAUAAUAAAAAAUAAUUACAAAGAAACAACAAAAAAAAAUUACAUACAUAUGUACAGGCUACGUUGUAAACAGCACAAAACAAAAAAAAAACACAAAAAAGGAAAAAAACAGCUGGAAAGUGUGGUUGAACUUUUUAAGAGAAUAUUAUAAAUACUGUAAUAUAUCAUUUUAUUUUAUUGGCAUGCCUUUUUGUAAAUACAAAGAACUACAUAAAUUAUAGAAUGGCUUUGGCAUGCCUUUUUGUAAAUACAAAGAACUACAAAAAUUAUAGAAUGGCUUCUGGCUUAUGCCAUUGUCCAUGGUUAUUUUUAUUUUUUUAAGAUUUUUCUGUUGUCCUUAGAUUUUAGAUAGCCAGGAAAUAUCCCCCAAAGGAGAAAAAAAAUAUAAAUAAAAUACAACAACAACAACAAAAAAAAUAUUCCAAAUUAAAACCCAAUCCCCCCUUCCAAACAGCUUUUAACAAAAGCUUUAUUGCAAGUGAUAUUUGCAGCAGCAGAAAUGUUCAUUUUUGGGUUCCAAUGUGCAAUAAGUCGACCACUUCUAUGCAAGAUUUGGCUGAACUUUAAAUUGUUCUUAGGCUGGGCUGAGUCUUGGUGUGUUGGCAUUUGUGCUGGCAACUCAUGAAGCUGCUCCAUGACUUGAAAAUAAAAGGGGGGGGGGGGGGGGGGGGGGGGGGGGGGGGGGGGGGGGGG
rnacentral:lncRNA from 12 species